rnacentral:rRNA from 1 species
UACGUAUGGAGCAAGCGUUAUCCGGAUUUACUGGGUGUAAAGGGAGCGCAGGCGGUCUGGCAAGUCUGAUGUGAAAUACCGGGGCUCAACUCCGGGACUGCAUUGGAAACUGUCAGACUGGAGUGUCGGAGAGGCAGGCGGAAUUCCUGGUGUAGCGGUGAAAUGCGUAGAUAUCACACAGAACACCGAUUGCGAAGGCAUCUGACGAAUCGGAGAUUGACGCUGAUGCACGAAAGCGUGGGUAUCGAACAGG